AUGAAACCCAAAUCUUCAAGGGGGAUUGGAUCAGAUCCUCAAAGCGGAAUCUUUGGGGCUGAUGACGGUUGUUGGAAGAAUCACAUUGCAAGAAACCCAGAUUCAGGACAGCAAAUGUCACCGGUGAAUCAUCCAUUGACCCUGGAGAGGAUUUGGGAAGAAGACAUGGAGGAUGAUACUCCAGCCAGUAUUAACGACGGGUCAGACGACGGCUAUGUGCUUGCUGCAUCUGCUGAGGCAUCCUCUUGCAACAAGGCUCCUCCUACCACGUUUCUGAGCCUCAAGGAAGACUCGAUUACAUGA
rnacentral:rRNA from 1 species